AUGUAGACUACUGGUUGGGUGCCACUGUGAGCAAGGGUUCCUCAUAUUUCGUGACUUGUGCUCCAAGGACCAUAACACAAGGUCAUACAAUACCGACGGGGACAUGUUUCAGUUUCCGAAAAGAAGAAGUACUUCAGCUAAUGAGCAAAAAUAUCCUUGAUACAAGAUUUAGUAAGCUUAUUUCAUGAAUAUUAAUCAAUAUAGGUGUACAGCCUCAAAUUUUAACUCAAUGACGUAAAAAAAUCUACUCAACUAGUUAUAUACUAAAUGUCAUAAAUAUGGAAAUAUAUCGGUAUGAUAAAAGUUA